AUUGCUAUGCGAGGCGCUGCCGCUGUCGCCACGGGCGAUUUAUGCCUCUCCCCGCUCCCACACGCUGCCGAAAGCAGAAACUCGCCAAGAUGCGUCCUGGGGAAAGUCCGUGACGAGGAGGGGCCGAAGAGUGGGAGGAAGGCAGGGCAAAGAAUUGAGGUGUCUGCACUUUUUUUCUUUUUCUUUUUCUUUUUUUUUUUUUUAAGUGCUACUUUUGUUUCGCAUCGCAAUUAUCUUCUCUCCUUUAAUUCUGACGCUUGCUCCUUUGGGUUAAAAGUGCUGACGGGGGGGAUUUGCGUUUAGCAGAGCCAGACAAGCAGUGACCACAAAGGCUCUCAGGACUCCGCAGGAAGGGGGGGGCACCUUUAGGCGAAUAAGUACGGACAGAAAAAAAGCCCAAGGUGUCCAAGUGAACAUCUGACUUUUGAGAGGAUUUAUGCUGGGCUGGACAGACAAGCUUUCUAAGUGAUGGACAAAGUCUUAUCCCACGGACUACGGUGUUUCCAGCUAUUGUUCUGCCUUCAGACCCCAGAAUGGGGGUUUUCGACGGGGGAUGUGACUACUGAGAUUCUCCCCCCCCCCCCCCCCCCCCCCACCCCAACCCCCCAUCUGACUACGAUCUGCUCAAAAACAUCAUUUCUACUGCAAGUCUGUUAUUAGUUUGGAGCCCCGGCGCUGAGAUUCCAGGCAAGGAAAGAGGAGAAACUACAGCGGACUUUUCUUUAAGGACUUCUCUGUAGGUGAAGUACUGGGUAGGUUUCUGAAUAUGGACCUCCACUGACUUCUGACAAGCAGAAGUACCUCGGGCUCUGCAAGUAACUCUUCCGAAGUGCAACAUAUUACUUUAACUUUAAACUGGCAGCCGAAAAACCAACGCAUUCAGCAGGUCGUUGCACCUAUACAAGUUGGGCUGCUGCAAGCAGUUUUUGGGCUCCCCGUAUAUUACCAUCUCUGCUUGGGAUGCUGCUGAUUUUUUUGCCUUUUAAAUGCGGAUCCCUCGCACCAAAUCAGCAGCAAAUGUUGCAACCCGAGCGGGUUUCCCUUCAAAGGGAGCUCAGGAAAUCUCUUCCAUUUAAAACACUCCCUGGAAGUUACGGCCAUAAAUCACAAAGUUUCGAGACAAGGCGGUAGCGAAAUGGAAAAGGAAAAUACUCUGCUGUAUAAUCCGGGGCAGCCGGGUUUGGUGGGGAAACAGUAAAUAAAGAGAGGAAUAAAGUCACGUUGGGUGAUUUUUUUGGAGGAGGAAUGGCUCCGAGUGAAUGGGGAGGAGGGAGGAGGGCGCAGGGAAGGGGAGCAGGUAGGAGACAGAGCAAAACUCACCGGUUCCCGGAUGUGUGGUCCAGCAAACACGGGGCUGCGGUGGAGUUUGAGAAAGGAGAAGAACUGAAGAGGAGGAAAAAAAAAAAAAAAGAGAGAGGGAGAGAGAGAGAGAAAGUAUGAAACUCGGGUCAGAGAAGCGUGGACAAGGGAAAGCGAAGGGAAUUCAUCACACAGAGAAAUGUUUGGGUGGAAAUGGGGAGCAGACGGGCUCUAAUAACAACCCCCCCUCCCCUCCCCCAGCAUCUCCUCUGAGGAUAUCCCUCAUCCAAGCGAGUACAGCUUUGCCAGGGGUUGCACCACUUCCCACACGCCCGUAACCGAAGUGGCACCGCAGACGGUGGGCGCUGCGCUUCUAUCUGCCAAUUUGAGAUUGCGGACCCCCCUCCCACCCCUCACCCCCCUCCCCCGGUCUGGGACUACGAUGGGGAACCCGAGAGGAGGGUGAUGGCUUCUGAGCGUCAGGAAAAUACAAAAACACGUCAUAAAUGAAUAAGAACCGAAGGGGUUUGGGUUAAACGCCGCCGGUAACUUCCGAGUUCAACGCGUUGAAGGGGUGAAGUACACGCGGUUCUUUGGCUCUGGGUUCAACAGAAGUAAAACAUCAGGGAACGCACGAGGCCGCUUUCCUGAAGGAGUCGGGAUGAGGAAUGCGGGGGGGGUUUACGUGGAGGAUCUCAGUUUGGGGUUUGGCUGCAGGACGGACGGGUCGAACCGGAACGCGUUUAGAGCCGCGCCGAGAUUUAUCAGCGCGACGUUGGUAGGAAAGACUUAGAAAAGGGACAGAGAAGGGAAGAAAGGAAGAAAAAAAAAAAAGAAAAAAAGGCAAUCUCAUUUAAAAAUAUUUUCGUUUGGGGAAACAUUCGGUCGCUUUCAUAAUCCCGUUUCCGUUCUGGAUGUUGAAGUUAUUAAUCUCAAAUAAAAACGUUCCCCUCACGCCCUUACUCGGCGUGUGACAACAUCCCCGAGUCCAUAAAUCACCCGCGGAUGCUCCGUGACCUUCUCCCAUCGGCGGCCGAGAGCUGUGUUUUUUAUUAGGGUUAUUAUUACGUUCGCGCACACUUUCAUACACAGCUUUGGCAAUAUUCCGCUUCCGUCGCAGCCUUGCCCGCUUUAACCGGGGCUUUCCAGUUCCCUCUGUGGAGUAUACGUUUGCGGAGGAGACGAACCAACACUAACGAGGAAAGCGACCGCAACAACCAUCGCUCCGCUUUACGGCAGAAAUGACCGAGAUGGGGGGGAAAGCCGUAUUUAGGGGCAGGAAAAAAAAACGGAGUGGGGUUUCUCAGCCUUCUCCUCCUCCGAAAGAGAGAGAUAGAGGUGGACUCCAAGAUUUCUCCUCCCGCCGUCCCAUCCCUCACCCAUCCUACCGCAGUGUUACCAUCAGGGAGAAAAAAGCAGGGAUUGGGUUAUUUUUGCAGUGAUACUCGCCUGAAUCCGGGACCCGAUGGGCGCUGUUGGACGGUCUGAGCAUGGGGGAGAAAGGACCUGGGAGAAGAAAUAAGCUCAGUUUACCAUCUUCCGUUCUCUACUUCGUUAAAGACUAUCAAUUUCUGACGAGGGAUUAUCAGGAGAGGGGGAAAGAAGCGGUGUUAAGGAAUUGUAUUUCUCUGGUUUGGGAUGUUCCCACUGAAUAUCGGUCUCGGUCUUCUAUAGGGAACCGUGCGGAUAGCAGAGAGUCCUCUAUUCUCCCUUCACUGCCCAUCUCUGCAACCAUCCCACAGCCACCGACAGACACAGCAGAGCCACUGCCCCGUGUUAAAAUCCCCUCUUACU